CUACGGGGUGCACCAGUGAGGAAUAUUGGUCAAUGGGCGCAAGCCUGAACCAGCCAUGCCGCGUGCAGGAAGAAUGCCCUAUGGGUUGUAAACUGCUUUUAUUUGGGAAUAAACCUCUUUACGUGUAGAGAGCUGAAGGUACCAAAUGAAUAAGCACCGGCUAACUCCGUGCCAGCAGCCGCGGUAAUACGGAGGGUGCAAGCGUUAUCCGGAAUCAUUGGGUUUAAAGGGUCCGCAGGCGGAUUUAUAAGUCAGUGGUGAAAUCCUAUCGCUUAACGAUAGAACUGCCAUUGAUACUGUAAGUCUGGAAUUCGGUCGGAGUGGGCGGAAUGUGUAGUGUAGCGGUGAAAUGCAUAGAUAUUACACAGAACACCGAUAGCGAAGGCAGCUCACUAGACCUGAAUUGACGCUCAGGGACGAAAGCGUGGGGAUCAAACAGGAUUAGAUACCCCCGUAGUC
rnacentral:rRNA from 1 species